rnacentral:lncRNA from 1 species
UUAAGAAAAGCGAAUAAAAGCAGUCGAUCUGCUGGUUCAUAGCGAAACAAAUGGAUUGCUCCACCAUGGUGAGUGGGACAGUGCUUGAGGUCAAUCUGCUUAAAAAAAGAGCAAUCAGGAAAUGCUGCGUGAGGAUUAAAGUUGUCGUCGUGUCUUGAACAAACUGCACAGCAAAGACACCAGACAUCGCUUGGCCCCAUACAUCAGGAGGGGUUUGGACUAAGCCAAAACAUUGUUUUGCAAGCACCAGUGUGUCAGAAGAUAAACAGAAGCUGCCAGGGGCAGUGUCCUGCCCUGCGGAACACAUUGACAACAGGCUGGCUCUCGCUACAUACUCCAGGUAUUUUUGUGUUAAGAAAGACAGGCUUUGAGUACAAACUACAUUAGGCUUCUGUGACUUGGCUGCAAAAUUUUCCUAAGCUGUUGUGUUCCCAGAGCUUAUACAGAAUUGCAAUGGCAAUAUAAUAGAAAGGAGAAAUUAGUACCAUUGGAUGAAACAAUUCUGUAUUUUCAGGUAUUAUAUUUCAUGGUCAUAAAGCUUCAGUGUGCUUCAAAUGUUCAUGAAGAAACUGCAUCUGACUUGGGGAAAACAAAGGUGAUUUCAGCCCCUGUGUAAGGGGAUUGCAGAAAUAAAUUACUACAUAAAAAUCA